rnacentral:rRNA from 2 species
CAACAACGGAUCUCUUGGUUCUGGCAUCGAUGAAGAACGCAGCGAAAUGCGAUACGUAGUGUGAAUUGCAGAAUUCAGUGAAUCAUCGAAUCUUUGAACGCACAUUGCGCCCUUUGGUAUUCCAAAGGGCAUGCCUGUUCGAGCGUCAUU